AGCAGCCGCGGUAAUUCCAGCUCCAAUAGCGUAUAUUAAAGUUGUUGCAGUUAAAAAGCUCGUAGUUGAAUUUCGGGAUCAAUGCGCGGUCGUGCCUUGGGUACGUACUACCGUCAUUGAUUCCUCCCUUCUGAAGAACCGUGAUGUCAUUAAUUUGGUGUUACGGGGAAUCAGGACUACAACCUUGAAAAAUUAGUGUUUAAAGCAGGCUAACGCUUGAAUACAUUAGCAUGGAAUAAUGAAAUAGGACGUUCGAACCUAUUUUGUUGGUUUCUAGGAUCGACGUAAUGAUUAAUAGGGAUAGUUGGGGGCAUUAGUAUUCAAUUGUCAGAGGUGAAAUUCUUGGAUUUAUUGAAGACUAACUACUGCGAAAGCAUUUGCCAAGGAUGUUUCAUUAAUCAAGACGAAAGUUAGGGGAUCGAAGACGAUCAGAUACCGUCGUAGUCUUAACCAUAAACUAUGCCGACUAGGGAUCGGAUGAUGUUAAUUUUUUAAUGUACUCAUUCGGCGCCUUACGGGA
rnacentral:rRNA from 1 species